rnacentral:sRNA from 1 species
GUAGAAAUCCCUUCAUUGACUGCUGGUAACAUUGCUUUGACCGUUGGGCUUAAACAUACUGCCACUGGAGACACCAUUGUCUCAUCCAAGUCCAGCGCAUUAGCUGCAGCUCGUAGAGCCGAAAGGGAGGGAGAAAAGAAGCACAGACAAAACAGUGAAGCAGAGAGACUUGUAUUGGCUGGAGUGGAGAUUCCAGAACCUGUUUUCUUCUGUACCAUAGAACCCCCGUCAGUGUCUAAGCAGCCAGAUUUGGAACAUGCAUUGAAAUGUCUUCAGCGUGAAGAUCCAAGUUUGAAAGUGAGGCUAGAUCCUGACUCUGGACAAGCACCACCCAGAAGCUGUCCACAUCAAUUAUAUUCAUCUUCCAUUGGCCAGAAAUUUGGCUUUGUGGUUGGGAAGUGUUGGUAUCUAGCUGAGUGUUGGCAUCAUUAGUCUUAGCCAGAUGCCACUUGCCCAGCAGAUAAUUCAACUGUCAAAGAAGGAGAGAAUGGCCAGACUGUUCUGUGUGGUAUGGGGGAGUUACAUAUAGAGAUUAUUCAUGAUCGAAUCAAGAGGGAAUAUGGACUGGAGACCUAUCUCGGGCCUCUCCAGGUGGCGUAUCGAGAGACCAUCCUAAACUCAGUUCGUGCCACAGAUACCUUAGAUAGAACUUUAGGAGACAAAAGGCAUCUUGUGACUGUAGAAGUGGAAGCAAGGCCAACUGAAACAACAUCUGUUAUGCCAGUGAUUGAGUAUGCUGAAAGUAUCCAUGAAGGCCUUUUGAAGGUCUCCCAAGAGGCCAUUGAAAAUGGAAUUCACAGCGCAUGCCUCCAAGGACCAUUGCUUGGAUCCCCAAUUCAGGAUGUAGCAAUUACUUUACAUUCCCUGACAAUUCAUCCUGGCACCUCCACAACUAUGA